UUAGGAAGAAACCAAUUAAAUCCACUUUGAUUUGAAGUUAAAAGUUCCCUCGUCUGAACCCAAGCUUAAGAUUUAGACUUCUAUAACAUGUAGGUCUUGUAACAGUAAAUUGAUCAUCUGAAUAUUAAGUACAGUUUGGUAAGUCACCCUGAAUUCUGACAAGGUUUGAGUUUUUCACAUAAAAGAAUCUGGUCAUAGAAAAAUCACUCUCUGUUUGGGUCCUUAAUUCUUAGCAAUGAGUCUUCAAGAGAGUGCUUUCUUGCUGAAAGGAUUACCUUUUUUAUUAAAAAAUGAAAAAUUACUUUAUUUUUUAAAUCUUCCCUAUUUCCAACUAUCUAGGCUAAGCAAAUUCAGCUGGAAUAUAAGAGGAUUUAUGAAAACAAUUUGUGCAGCUCUUUAAAAGUCCUGUCCUAGAAUAUAGAUUAGGAAUGGAUUAUUCAGUGUAUUACCUUUGGGUAACAGCUUGUAUCCUGGAAUAUGGCCAACCCUGUAAAAUAGGAAAGGCAGUUGUUUCUUAUUGCUGAACAGAAUUCCAUCAAAUACUGUAGAUUGAAAAUACAGGCAUGCAUCAAAAUUACACUGAAAAUUUUUGUUCAUAUGGGCACUCCCUCAUGGAAAUGGUUCUUAGAGACAGAAGAAAUGAAACAGGAUAUUGCAAGGACAUGGUCCUCUUUCUUCAAACUCAAGAAAUGCAUGCACUUACCUGGAAGCCUUCUGCGGAGACAGACCAGACUUGUCUCUGGCAGAUUUUAUAGUGUCUCGUCUGCAGAUGAUGCAGAUGGUCCCCCUUUCUUCGGUCAGAACAUUUCUGCCAAACCUUUUUUGGCCAAGCAUUGUCUGUCAAACUAAGGGCAUAAUUGUCACUUGAUUUGAAUGAUAUAAUUAGAACAUUUUUAUAUCUUACUGACUACGUGAAUAUGUCUAUAAAUAAUUUGUCAAGAGUGUUAAGGAGAGAAUCUAGACUACUCAAGGCACUUAGAGAACUUGCAUGGUUCUAUUGCUGCCUUUCUCAGUGAUUUGCUCCUUGACCCAUGGUAGUUUCCUUGGUAUGUUUAUACCACAACUUUUCAGUCGUGUAAUGGUGAUGACAACGCCUAUGAUGCUUUAGGAACAUAUGCAUUGGGAGGAACAGGGAAAAUAUGACAAAAACUAGCAAAUAAUGUUGGGAACCACUUUUCAGUGGUGUUUUCUAAAAAGCAACAAGUAAAAUUCUAUUACAGCUGAGUUUUCUGUAUAUGACACUCUCAAUAGCUUAAAUUAUUUGAAAUAAAAUGAGUUGGGAGCCUGAUCCCAAGUAAUGGGAGACUCUUCUUUGAUAUGGAGCUCUUGAAUAGAUUCCUGAGCUGACUGUUGAGGAAUCAAAUGUUGCAAAUGAGUUAAGGUUGCUUAAAGUAUCACCAUCAAAGGCAUUAGUGAAAGAGGGUUCAAUAUAAAUUUGCAAAAACACAACAAAGUUUGAUGGCAAGGUUUGCUCUUUUACUUGAUGCAAAGAUCAAGAAAAAUCUACUAAGAAUUUCUUUAGAACGAUUUGCACAACAGCUGGGGAUGCAAAGGGUAAGGGUAAAAGCAUAAGAAAAAUUGUCCUGAUGAGUUAUGAGGUUCACAGAGGCCCCCUUGAUUUCUUAAUUCCUGACAGAGUCUGCGUGCAGUUUGAUCUAAUGAUAAUACAAGACCUGGUCAACAGUUUAUGGUUUUAGCAGGACUUAAUCAUUGGCUAAUUUGACAUUCAAAAAGUGAUUCAAAUGGAUUUACUAUAAUUGCAACAGUGACUUAAUUAUAGAUCCCAGAUAGCAACAUUAAAACUACACUUGCUGUAGAGUGCUUAAAUGAACUCACACAUGCACACACACAGACACAAAGGUGUGUGUAUGAAUGUUCAAGGGUUACACCUGUUAAAAGUUCCCUCGGAGUUCAGUGAAAUUUUCACUUCAAAUGUCUUGAAAUUUCUCAGUGUGCAAGAGGUGAGCCUCAGGGACUGCAGGAUAUUGCUCUGGUGAAUCAGCUUUUAGUGAAUUUUUUGCAAUUCAGUCUUCCGUUUUCCACAAACUUGAGAGUUCAUGAGUUUUGAGAGGCACCUCACUCUGAGGAAGAUACUGGCUGCAGCCAGUAUGAGUAAUUCAGUUCUGAGGAACAUUUACUGACCAUACUACUGUUUGCCUUUUUUGGUUGAACAGCAGACUCAUACUGAACAGACUGCACUCAGGAGAGAGGAAAACUGGGAAGCUGAAUUCCUUCUAGCUCUUGCCAUGUCCAGCACUGAAGUCCUGUGUUAAAAUUUCUCCAUGCUCAUGCUGUUCAGGGAAUUCAGGUUCCUCAAGUUUCCUGCUUCAGGCUCUUCACCAAGUAUCUCCUCAUUUCUCAGCAGCUGUCCUUUCAGGACAGAAAUACCAACUUGCAAAUAAAGAAGGGGCUACCACACUGCUCAAGCAACUCAUGUAACACCCAUAAGAGACUAUAACUGCUCCAUACAUUAUGGACAGAUGUUAUUUUGGGUUCUAGUACUCAUUGCCAGUGAGUGCUUGUAGAAAUCACUAAGUAGGGUGUGAAAGAAAAGCAGUGUUGACUUACCUGGUUUGAAUAUAGCUGUGAACAUAGCUGAAAAUAAAGCUGUUUGAGAAUUGAUCUAUGACAAUAUAUGUAAUGUAGCAUCCUGUGAAGGGUUAAAAUGGCUCCCAAAAGUCAAUAUGAUUGUGUUUAUAAAGCACAUCUCUCCUGAGCAGUCUCUUCUCUUCCACAGCUGCUGCAAAGUGUGUGCUAACUAGCAGUUCCUGGGGUGCAAUGAAUUCCAAUCUUACAAAGUCUAGAGUGCUAAUUCUGUUGCUUAUCUCCCCAGCUUUCUGCUGGAUCCUUCAUCCAGUCAUGUAUUUGCUGCAGUCUGAGGUGCCAUCUGGGAUCAUGUUUAUCACAAGUUCAUCUCUGCUUCCAAUACUCUGUGUUGCCUGUCCAGUAUUUACAUUGGGCUAUUGACAUCAGCACUGCCUAAGAAUUUCUGGCAGAGCUUGCCUGCUGCUGUUGCUCUCACAGCAGAUGUCCACAUGGCUGAAAACCUCCCUAAGGCAGAGAAGGCUUGAGUUUCUACUAGUUGUGGAAAUCCCUUCACUAUUUUGUCUCUUUCAGGUGGCCCAUAACAGGCCCUAUCACAACAUCACUCAUUUUCCUCCUGUCUCUGACAGGAUGUCUGCAGCCCCACAGUGGAGCAUUGCACAAGCAAGGAGCAAUUUGACAUAAAGCAUAAACCCUUCUCAUUUCCCCUGUGUAUUCUUCCUACACAGUCCAUACUGUCCAUGACUAUGCUCCCUUGAUGCACACUGUCCUACAUUACCUCCAUAAUUCUGAUCACGUUCCCCUUCUUCCUUGUAAAAUCCCUACACUUGCAGCUAUUCCUCUGUCAUUUCUCAUCUUAAGUGUUCUUCCCAUAAUGAACCUGAUUUCAGACCCUUACCAUCAGGUUAGUAGUCUCAUGGCAGAUUUCUUUUCCUUCUCAGUCCUCAAAUACAGAUGCCCAAAAAUCUUGGGGAGCUCAUAGAUGAACUUGUGAAGCUUCCAAACACAAUGAAAGCUCCUACUUAAGAAUCCAUUAGUAUAUCACACAACUGCCAGGUAAUGAAUGUAAUGUAAUGGCAUUAAGAGGGCUUAUGGGGAAACCAGGAGAACUACAGUGCAGCAAGGCUGAUGGCUUUACUGGACAAAUGAAUUCAGCACCCUUCCCUCAACUCACUUUUUGAGGGCAGCACCAAUAGUUUGUUUUCUUGGUCUCAAUCCUUAAAUUUUACAGUAAACAACAAUAACACAGGUGAAACCCAACAGGGCACCAGCUGUUUCUCAUUAAUUGGUUGGAAUCCCACUGCAUCCCAUGCUUCCUGGAAGUUUUAGCAUAUUUGGAAUGGGGAUAGAGACACAUUCUCCCCUCCAAUGGCUCCAAAUUUCUCACACAACAAGAAAGACACAAGGGUCUCUCUCUGCUCUCUGGGUAAGACACCAGGGCUCUUCACCAUGUUCUUUCUCCUUGUAAAACUUUAUUUCAUUCCCCCCAUUAGUGAAAUUAUUAAAACAUUCUCCAUUUUCUUUGGGGUGAUUGCUUCUUUUCUCUUGUAACUUAACCAAUUCUGUUGCAGAGUGAAAUAAAAUUACCAUGGUGUUUCCUUCCUGAUAAAAGAAUUCUCUUUACAACUGGGCAGAGCUUAGGGUGCAGUGGAGAGGGCAGGUGGUUGGCUUUGCUGAGUCCUCCUCCAGGGAGUGAAGUGACAUCAUGUUUAGGGAAGUCCACCUCCUUCCUCUCUGAAAGGGUUGCCAAGCCCUGGAACAGGCUGCCCAGGGCAGUGGUGGACUCCCCAUCCCUGGAGAGAUUUAAAAGAUGUGUGGGAACAUGGUUUAGUGGUAGACUUGGCAGUGCUGGGGUAAUGGUUAAACAUAAUGAUUUUAGAGGUCUUUUCCAACCCAAAUGGAGCCCUCAUGACUCCAUCACACUUUGAGAGUACAGGGCAGCAGGAGGAGCAAUUGUUCUGCUUUCUUUUCCUGCUUUUAUUUCUGCGGUCUCUUUAGGAUACUGACACAAAACCUUCAUCUCUUUUAUUUCCCUGUGUCUGCUAAACUGUUUGGAAUUAUGUCCAGAAUACUGAAUGGCAGUCAUUGCCAAGUCCUCCCCUUAGUUAGCAGCUAGGAUUUGCAGGAAUCUUUCAGAAAAAGGUUAUAGUUUCAGUACAGAGUACCUAAAUUCACUUCUAUUGGGAAAUGAGUAUUUAGUAUCACUAUCCUUAUCUUCUAGGAAAAGAAAAAAGAAGGUAUUUUGUUCAGUGUCUUGAUUGUGCCUUAAAAACAUUUAUGGCAAUGUGAGACCUAGCUGAUAGAAUAUCACUUUUCUGGUCUAAUGUUUUUUCUUGUCAGACUCUGUAAUUCAUACAUAGUGGAAUACUAACCCUCCAAAAUAAGCGGAUUUGAAUACUAGAAUUUGAAUUCUAGAAUUAACAUUCGAAUUCUAGAAUCAGGGCAUUAACAUAUAGCACUUUGUAGGUAAAAAACACAUCACCAUCACCUCAAAACAGCAGAGGCUGAGAUAGUGACAGUGGCAGAUACAAAAAUCAUGUAGAUUAGAACAAUACUUACAACUCUUCUAGGAAGAGCAAUGGUGUAGGGAGGAGUCUAAAUUACUUGCUCAUUAUUUCCCCCCACUGCCAAAAAAAAAAGGGAUCUCAAAUCCUUGCAGGGUUUUUGGUUUGCUGCUGGCCCUGCUGUCAUUAAGGUAGGGCCUGCCUAGAGAGGUCAGUUUUCUCUGCAGCCUGUCAUGGACAGUCUGACAGGGAAUGCUCAGCCCCUGCUGCAGCAGCUUUUCUGCUGCCCUCUGUGUAAAACGAGAACUUCCAGGAAUGUUAGCAGAAGGCAAGCAGAAAUGUCAGAGCACUGCUCUGUAGCAGCACUGCUCACCCCCGUACUUCUGCUCGGAUAUGACUGGACACUGAGCCCUGGAGAGGGUGUGGCUGAAGGAAUAGGCUGAGGCAAUUGCUGGAAGCAAUCAGUGAUUUCCAAGGAAGAGCUACUGAGGAUCAUAACUGAGGCAUCAGCAGAAGAGAUCUGGGCAGCAGAUCCCAUCCAGGGAGGUGACACUCGGGAUGCCCUUUCUAUCCCCUGCCAAGCAGCUGAGGAGCUCUUAUUACCCAGCAGACUACAGUGACAGCUUCUGGUCGUCAAUGCUUGUUGACACUUGUGACACUGGAAUCAGUCUGGACUUCCCAGCAAGAGCUGGUGAGGCUGCACUUGGGAGCUGGGUAAGACUCUGCACUCUUCAGCAAGGGCUUGAUCUUGAAGAACAGCUUCAUCCAUGGCCAGUGUUUGACAUUCAUGAAUGCACGAAUGUUGUACUGGAUGCAGAAGAUGGAUUCCCUGAAAGAUAUGUUGAAUUAAUAUUCAAUAUUUACACGAUGACACAAUAAGCCAAGUACAGUGAACCUGAGCUGAAGAAAA